rnacentral:rRNA from 1 species
GACGAACGCUGGCGGCGUGCUUAACACAUGCAAGUCGAGCGGUAAGGCCCUUUCGGGGGUACACGAGCGGCGAACGGGUGAGUAACACGUGGGCGACCUGCCCUUAGCUCUGGGAUAAGCCUGGGAAACUGGGUCUAAUACCGGAUAUGACUCCAUGACGCAUGUUGUGGGGUGGAAAGCCUUGUGCGGCUAGGGAUGGGCCUGCGGCCUAUCAGCUUGUUGGUGGGGUGAUGGCCUACCAAGGCGACGACGGGUAGCCGGCCUGAGAGGGCGACCGGCCACACUGGGACUGAGACACGGCCCAGACUCCUACGGGAGGCAGCAGUGGGGAAUCUUGCGCAAUGGGCGAAAGCCUGACGCAGCGACGCCGCGUGGGGA